CUUCUGCCUAAUAGAUUCAUCUCUCUUGAUUGGACUGUAAAGGUCAUCAGAACAAGAACUUCUUCUUGUUUAUGAUUUCAUCACCAGGAUCUAGAAAAUGCCUGGCCGACAAACCGCCGAAGCCCAUUGCUUCCCCGCAAAGCCGCAAAGCCUUCAUAGGGCACACUCGAUGUUCCUGUCACAAACUGAAGUAACCUCAAUCUCUGCUCAUUAUUGAACCGUUCCACCGCAGCCCAGAACCAGCGGAUCACAAGAUGGCCGUCAUGAUAACCUGGUUAAAAAAAUGAGGUGGUAGUGGGGAGAAAGAGGAUGUAAGGAAAGGAGGAAGAAACAGAUGUGUUAACUGAA